rnacentral:rRNA from 1 species
AACCUGGUGGCGAGUGGCGAACGGGUGAGUAAUGCAUCGGAACGUGCCAUUGAGUGGGGGAUAACGUAGCGAAAGUUGCGCUAAUACCGCAUAUUCUGUGAGCAGGAAAGCAGGGGACCGCAAGGCCUUGCGCUCUUUGAGCGGCCGAUGUCAGAUUAGCUAGUUGGUGAGGUAACGGCUUACCAAGGCGACGAUCUGUAGCGGGUCUGAGAGGAUGAUCCGCCACACUGGAACUGAGACACGGUCCAGACUCCUACGGGAGGCAGCAGUGGGGAAUUUUGGACAAUGGGGGCAACCCUGAUCCAGCCAUGCCGCGUGAGUGAAGAAGGCCUUCGGGUUGUAAAGCUCUUUCGGCCGGGAAGAAAUCGCAUGGGCCAAUACCCUGUGUGGAUGACGGUACCGGAAUAAGAAGCACCGGCUAACUACGUGCCAGCAGCCGCGGUAAUACGUAGGGUGCGAGCGUUAAUCGGAAUUACUGGGCGUAAAGCGUGCGCAGGCGGUUUUGUAAGACAGGCGUGAAAUCCCCGGGCUCAACCUGGGAACUGCGUUUGUGACUGCAAGGCUAGAGUUCGGCAGAGGGGGGUGGAAUUCCACGUGUAGCAGUGAAAUGCGUAGAGAUGUGGAGGAACACCAAUGGCGAAGGCAGCCCCCUGGGUCGAUACUGACGCUCAUGCACGAAAGCGUGGGUAGCAAACAGGAUUAGAUACCCUGGUAGUCCACGCCCUAAACUAUGUCAACUAGGUGUUGGGUGGGUAAAACCAUUUAGUACCGUAGCUAACGCGUGAAGUUGACCGCCUGGGGAGUACGGCCGCAAGGUUAAAACUCAAAGGAAUUGACGGGGACCCGCACAAGCGGUGGAUGAUGUGGAUUAAUUCUAUGCAACGCGAAAAACCUUACCUACCCUUGACAUGCCAGGAACUUGCCAGAGAUGGCUUGGUGCCCGAAAGGGAGCCUGGACACAGUUGCUGCAUGGCUGUCGUCAGCUCGUGUCGUGAGAUGUUGGGUUAAGUCCCGCAACGAGCGCAACCCUUGUCGUUAAUUGCCAUCAUUUAGUUGGGCACUUUAGCGAGACUGCCGGUGACAAACCGGAGGAAGGUGGGGAUGACGUCAAGUCCUCAUGGCCCUUAUGGGUAGGGCUUCACACGUCAUACAAUGGUCGGUACAAAGGGUCGCCAAGCCGCGAGGUGGAGCCAAUCCCAGAAAGCCGAUCGUAGUCCGGAUUGCAGGCUGCAACUCGCCUGCAUGAAGUCGGAACCGCUAGUAAUCGUGGAUCAGCAUGUCACGGUGAAUACGUUCCCGGGUCUUGUACACACCGCCCGUCACACCAUGGGAGCGGGUUACGCCAGAAGUAGGUAGCCUAACCGCAAGGAGGGCGCUUACCACGGCGG